CUACGGGUUGCACCAGUGAGGAAUAUUGCGCAAUGGGGGAAACCCUGACGCAGCGACGCCGCGUGGAUGAUGAAGGCCUUCGGGUCGUAAAAUCCUGUCAGAAGGAAAGAAGUGUAUGGUAGCUAAUAUCUGCCAUACUUGACGGUACCUUCAAAGGAAGCACCGGCUAACUCCGUGCCAGCAGCCGCGGUAAUACGAGGGUGCAAGCGGUGUUCGGAAUUACUGGGCGUAAAGCGCGCGGAGGCGGGUUUAUAAGUCAGAUGUGAAAGUCCACGGCUCAACCAUGGAAGUGCAUUUGAAACUGUAAGACUUGAGUAUUGGAGGGGGUAGUGGAAUUCCCGGUGUAGAGGUGAAAUUCGUAGAUAUCGGGAGGAAUACCGGUGGCGAAGGCGACUAUCUGGCCAAAUACUGACGCUGAGGUGCGAAAGCGUGGGGAGCAAACAGGAUUAGAUACCCUUGUAGUC
rnacentral:rRNA from 1 species